rnacentral:rRNA from 1 species
CCUACGGGAGGCAGCAGUGAGGAAUAUUGGGCAAUGGGCGCAAGCCUGACCCAGCAACGCCGCGUGAAGGAAGAAGGCUUUCGGGUUGUAAACUUCUUUUAUUGAGGACAAAACAAAUGACAGUACUCAAUGGAUAAGCCACGGCGAACUACGUGCCAGCAGCCACGGGAAUCCGUAGGUGGCAAGAGUUAUCCGGAUUUACUGGGUGUAAAGGGGGUGUGGGCGGGACUGCAAGUCAGAUGUGAAAACCAUGGGGUGAACCCAUGGCCAGCAUUUGAAACUGGAGUGCUUGAGUGAGGGAGAGGCAGGCGGAAUGCGGGGUGUAGCGGUGAAAUGCGUAGAUAUAGGGCGGAACACCAGUGGCGAAGGCGGCGUGCUGGA